rnacentral:rRNA from 1 species
GAUGAACGCUGGCGGCGUGCCUAAUACAUGCAAGUCGAGCGAACAGACGAGGAGCUUGCUCCUCUGACGUUAGCGGCGGACGGGUGAGUAACACGUGGAUAACCUACCUAUAAGACCGGGAUAACUUCGGGAAACCGGAGCUAAUACCGGAUAAUAUAUUGAACCGCAUGGUUCAAUAGUGAAAGACGGUUUUGCUGGCACUUAUAGAUGGAUCCGCGCCGCAUUAGCUAGUUGGUAAGGUAACGGCUUACCAAGGCAACGAUGCGUAGCCGACCUGAGAGGGUGAUCGGCCACACUGGAACUGAGACACGGUCCAGACUCCUACGGGAGGCAGCAGUCGGGAAUCUUCCGCAAUGGGCGAAAGCCUGACGGAGCAACGCCGCGUGAGUGAUGAAGGUCUUCGGAUCGUAAAACUCUGUUAUUAGGGAAGAACAAAUGUGUAAGUAACUAUGCACGUCUUGACGGUACCUAAUCAGAAAGCCACGGCUAACUACGUG